AUUGAACGCUGGCGGCAUGCCUAACACAUGCAAGUCGAACGGCAGCACAGUAAAGACUUCGGUCUUUAUGGGUGGCGAGUGGCGGACGGGUGAGUAACGCGUAGGAAUCUGUCCUGGAGGGUGGGCUAACCCGAGGAAACUCGGGCUAAUACCGCAUGAUAUCGAGAGAUCAAAAGCAGGGGACCCUUCGGGGCCUUGCGAUAGAGGAUGAGCCUACGUCGGAUUAGCUAGUUGGUGGGGUAAAGGCCUACCAAGGCGACGAUCCGUAGCUGGUCUGAGAGGAUGACCAGCCACACUGGGACUGAGACACGGCCCAGACUCCUACGGGAGGCAGCAGUGGGGAAUCUUGGACAAUGGGGAAACCCUGAUCCAGCGAUGCCGCGUGUGUGAAGAAGGCCUUCGGGUUGUAAAGCACUUUAGUUGGGGAAGAAAAGUAAUAAGUAAAUAAUUUAUUGCACUGACGGUACCCAAAGAAUAAGCACCGGCUAACUCUGUGCCAGCCGCCGCCGUAA
rnacentral:rRNA from 1 species